GACGCACCGUCCGAACGUUAUUCGGAAUUAUUGGGCUUAAAGGGUGCGUAGGCGGCGUUACAAGUCGGGUGUGAAAUCCCUCAGCUUAACUGAGGAACUGCGCCCGAAACUGUAGUGCUAGAGGGAGACAGGGGUGAGCGGAACUGAUGGUGGAGCGGUGAAAUGUGUUGAGAUCAUCAGGAACACCGGUGGCGAAGGCGGCUCACUGGGUCUCUUCUGACGCUGAGGCACGAAAGCUAGGGGAGCAAACGGG
rnacentral:rRNA from 1 species